GUCAGCAUUUUCCUGUUCAGGGUAGGGUUGUCUCUACAGAAACCAUGAAUGAUGCCAGUGUUCUUAAGACAGUUUCACUCUGGAUUCCCACUACUUCUGUCACAGUGCAUUGUUGACAGCCUCACUGGCUUUUUAAGUGACUUCUUAGCAAGCAUAAACCUCCCCUACUUGAUCUGCUUUACUCCACACUACUCUUGGCAGAGCAGCUUGGGAAUGAGAGUGGCACAGAGAAACUCAAAGCACGACUGCCUGGUGAGCUCUUCAGCACUGCCUGCCACUUGUGCCAUCCAAAAUGUGCUUGGCAGAGCCAGUGGAUCAUUCACAGUCACAAAUGGAAUGUGCCACCCCCAAGACUGGGCUGACUCACUGCUUCAGCACUGACUCAGAGGAAGAAAACCCACCUCACAAAGCUCACCAGCAGCUCCUCUGGCACCCUGGAUUCUCCUUGGCAAACCCCCACACAAAGACUGAGCAUGCCUGAACUUGAUUAGCUGGCGAGAUAAGGCGAGCACACAGCCGAAGCGGCAAUGGCUCCAGGCCAGUGAGAAGUUACAUGUUUGCAAAACCAACACAAAUGAUUUCAAGGGAAAGAGUAGCAAAAUAAAUUAAUCCUAAAGAAUAA